rnacentral:rRNA from 1 species
AUGGCUCAGGAUGAACGCUAGCUACAGGCUUAACACAUGCAAGUCGAGGGGCAUCAUGGAGUUGCUUGCAAACUCUGAUGGCGACCGGCGCACGGGUGAGUAACGCGUAUCCAACCUCCCUAUAGUAGAGGAUAGCCCGGCGAAAGUCGGAUUAAUACUCUAUGUUUUCCGUUGCAGACAUCUAAGAUGGAACAAAGGCUUGCCGCUAUAGGAUGGGGAUGCGUCUGAUUAGGUAGUCGGCGGGGUAACGGCCCACCGAGCCAUCGAUCAGUAGGGUUCUGAGAGGAAGGUCCCCCACAUUGGAACUGAGACACGGUCCAAACUCCUACGGGAGGCAGCAGUGAGGAAUAUUGGUCAAUGGGCGAGAGCCUGAACCAGCCAAGUAGCGUGCAGGACGACGGCCCUAUGGGUUGUAAACUGCUUUUAUGCGGGGAUAAAGUUCACUACGUGUAGUGUUUUGUAGGUACCGCAUGAAUAAGGACCGGCUAAUUCCGUGCCAGCAGCCGC